GUGAAUCAUCGAAUCUUUGAACGCUCCUUGCGCUCCUUGGUAUUCCUUGGAGCAUGCCUGUUUGAGUAUCAUGAAAUCUUCAAAGUAAACCUUUUUUGUUAAUUCAAUUUAGGUCUCUUACUUUGGUCUUGGAGGUUAUUGCAGCUUCACACCUGCUCCUCUUUGUGCAUUAGCUGGAUCUCAGUGUUAUGCUUGGUUCCACUCAGCGUGAUAAGUUAUCUAUCGCUGAGGACACUGGUAAAAAGGUGGCCAAGGUAAACGCAGAUGAACCGCUUCCAAUAGUCCAUUGACUUGGACAAUUAUUUAUGAUCUGAUCUCAAAUCAGGUAGGACUACCCGCUGAACUUAAGCAUAUCAAUAAGCGGAGGAAAAGA
rnacentral:rRNA from 1 species